GUAGGUGAACCUGCGGAAGGAUCAUUACCGAAGCUAGCGCCGUCAGCGCAACGCUAAAUGACAUUGCCGCCGUUACUGUCGAAGCGCCGGUCGAGUGCCGCACGGGGUGAAACCCGAAAGGUGCUCGAUCGGUGCGGCGACGGAUGUUUCCCUCCGCCUUGGGAACGUCCGUCGUUAACUGGUGUACGCGUCCGGGUGCCUAUCUGUCUCUAGGCCUAACGAGUCGCCGCUCUCUGCGAUCGCCCGGGUG
rnacentral:misc_RNA from 1 species